CCUACGGGCGGCAGCAGUGGGGAAUAUUGCGCAAUGGGCGAAAGCCUGACGCAGCGACGCCGCGUGAGGGAUGAAGGUCUUCGGAUCGUAAACCUCUGUCAGCAGGGAAGAACGGUCACUGUGCUAAUCAGCAGUGAAUUGACGGUACCUGCAAAGGAAGCACCGGCUAACUCCGUGCCAGCAGCCGCGGUAAUACGGAGGGUGCGAGCGUUAAUCGGAAUUACUGGGCGUAAAGCGCUCGUAGGCGGUAUGUCAAGUCAAGGGUGAAAUCCCCGGGCUCAACGUGGGAACUGCCUUUGAAACUGGCAAACUGGAGUGUGUGAGAGGAUAGUGGAAUUCCAGGUGUAGGAGUGAAAUGCGUAGAUAUCUGGAGGAACAUCAGUGGCGAAGGCGACUAUCUGGCACAUAACUGACGCUGAGGAGCGAAAGCGUGGGUAGCAAACAGGAUUAGAUACCCGAGUAGUC
rnacentral:rRNA from 1 species